AGUGGAUGGGGAGCAACCUAGUUGUGCGUGUGUAAAGGUAGUGCCAAGAAAAGCGAUGAUCAUGUUGAAAAUCAAUUCCCGGUACCCGAAACCGACACAGGUGGGCAAGUAGAGAAUACUAAGGGGCGCGAGGUAACUCUCUCCAAGGAACUCGGCAAAAUGACCCCGUAACUUAGGGAGAAGGGGUGCCACCGAGAGGUGGUCGCAGUGAAGAGGCCCAGGCGACUGUUUAGCAAAAACAUAGGUCUCUGCAAACUCGAAAGAGGAGGUAUAGGGGCUGACGCCUGCCCAGUGCCGGAAGGUUAAAGAAGUUGGUCAGUCUUAGGAUGAAGCUAGCGACUGAAGCCCCGGUGAACGGCGGCCGUAACUAUAACGGUCCUAAGGUAGCGAAAUUCCUUGUCGGGUAAGUUCCGACCCGCACGAAAGGCGUAACGAUCUGGGCGCUGUCUCGGAGAGAGGCUCGGCGAAAUAGGAUUGUCUGUGAAGAUACGGACUACCUGCAUUUGGACAGAAAGACCCUAUGAAGCUUUACUAUAGCUUGGAAUUGUGUUCGGGCUUCCUGUGCGCAGGAUAGGUGGGAGGCGUAGAAGGUAUUCUUGUGGGGAUACUGGAGCCAACGGUGAGAUACCACUCUCAGGAGGCUAGAAUUCUAACUUAAUUAAGGACAGUUUCAGGUGGGUAGUUUGACUGGGGCGGUCGCCUCCAAAAAGGUAACGGAGGCGUACAAAGGUUCCCUCAGACUGGUUGGAAAUCAGUCGAAGAGUGCAAAGGCAGAAGGGAGCUUGACUGCGAGAAGUACAGUUCGAGCAGGGUGGAAACACGGUCUUAGUGAUCCGACGGUGCUGUGUGGAAGGGCCGUCGCUCAACGGAUAAAAGUUACUCUAGGAUAACAGGCUGAUCUCCCCCAAGAGUUCACAUCGACGGGGAGGUUUGGCACCUCGAUGUCGGCUCAUCGCAACCUGGGGCGGAAGUACGUCCCAAGGGUUGGGCUGUUCGCCCAUUAAAGCGGUACGUGAGCUGGGUUCAGAACGUCGUGAGACAGUUCGGUCCAUAUCCGAUGUAGGCGUGAGAAUAUUGAGAGGAGCCUUCCUUAGUACGAGAGGACCGGGAAGGACGCACCGCUGGUGUACCUGUUAUGAUGCCAAUUGUAAACGCAGGGUAGCCAAGUGCGGAGAGGAUAACCGCUGAAAGCAUCUAAGUGGGAAGCCCACCUCAAGAUGAGUAUUCUGGUGUAAGGUCACGGGAAGACGACCCGUAAAUAGGCACGAGGUGGAAGUGCAGAGAUGUAUGAAGCCGAAGUGUACUAAUAGACCGUCGGCUUGA
rnacentral:rRNA from 1 species